GACUGAUUCUAGUUAUUUGAAAAUAAUCUCCAAGAUUUUUCUUUUGGUCUUCUGGGAUUCUUUCUUUAUCUGAAGUCAGCCUCAUUUCUUGGCUACUUUAGCUUUUCCAAUUUGCACAGCAAAGGGUAAUCAAUAAAAAUUGUGUCAGUUGGCUAACUAAUAAUUGUCCUGUUGAUGGACACAUCUAUUCAUCAUUUCUGUCUUUCACUUCAUUAUUCUAUUUCAGGCCAUUAUCUCCAGAUGGACUCAUUGGCAUUUAAAAGGUACAACUGAGAGAGCAGCUGGGUAGCUUAAUGCAUUGUGAAUUUUAAAAGUCUCCAUCUUGGUCUAGCACCCAAAAAUUGUGCACACCCACACUACACGGGUAUGUGAUAGUCAAUGACAAAUCAGAAAUAACUAACUGCCCACCUGGGCUGUCCUAAGCCAAGCUAGAGCCACCAUUGGCACUUGUGAGGCACAGGAAGUGACAGAGAGAGCAGCCUCGGGAAUUCGCUCACUUCCUGUGGACAGGGCUAGAUGCCAGUUCGUGUUAGAAGCUUGAACAGAGAGGAGGCCUGCACACAGCUUCCCUUCAGAUCGGUCAUGUACCUCUGGACCUCAGUUUCUUAUUCUUACACAAGUGGAAGCUGGGCUGGAUUAUCUUCUGAUGUUUAUGCCUGCUCUGAAUUUCUAGUUAUUACUCCCACUGGCCAGGUGCCGACAGAAAACAGAAGGUAUUUCUCCUCUGGGACCUACAUCAGGAGGAUAAACAAGAAUUGGAACAGAGAUCGUCACCUGACUGACCUAGUGGGACCAGACAUUCCCUCUAUUCUGUUCCAUUGGCAUGAUAUCAGGGAGGAGUUGUACUCUUUGGAUGAGAAACCAUCAUGAUCAUACUCCCAAGAAACCUUAUCACCAGGAAACUCAUCAUCCUGAAAGAUCACAUCAGUCUCAUAUCUCAUUAGUGCCUGGUUCACUCUGUUUUUCUAAUGGGAGAGCUGGAGAAAGGAGCAAAGGAUUCCUCUCAUGGCCUCCACUUAAAGAAGGCUCUCAGAGACUUCCAGGAAUAAAGUCUACUACUCACUGGACUGCAGACUAAAUAAAUAAUACAAGUGCCUAAUGCAGGGCCUGUCUUUCAGCCUCCUAGAUGUAUGGGAUUUACCUGGGACUAAUAGAUGCCAAAUAAACCAACAUCUUCAUUUUGAAGACA
rnacentral:lncRNA from 1 species